rnacentral:rRNA from 11 species
CAUUUAGGCUUGAAUGCCCCAAAGACACCAGAUCCUAUCUGAUUUUGGAAGUUAAACAGGGUCAGUUGUGAGGAAAACUUGGAUGGGAGACCACAAUCAAUCCCCAGGUCUUGCAGGC